UACGUAGGGCGCAAGCGUUGUCCGGAAUUAUUGGGCGUAAAGAGCGUGUAGGCGGCUUUGCAAGUCCGUUGUGAAAACUCGAGGCUCAACCUCGAGACGCCGGUGGAAAACUGCAAAGCUAGAGUCCGGAAAGAGGAGAGUGGAAUUCCUGGUGUAGCGGUGAAAUGCGCAGAUAUCAGGAAGAACACCGGUGGCGAAGGCGGGUCUCUGGGCCGAUACUGACGCUGAGGAGCGAAAGCGUGGGGAGCGAACAGG
rnacentral:rRNA from 1 species